CUGCGGAAGGUCAUUACAAGUGAGGCUACCGAACGUUGGAAACAGCGGUUAGGAGCUUACACCCACCCGUGUUUACAUACUAUUGUUGCUUUGGCGGGCCGUGGCCUCCACUGCGGGCUCUGCUCGUGUGUGCCCGCCAGAGAACCAAACUCUGAAUGUUAGUGAUGUCUGAGUACUAUCUAAUAGUUAAAACUUUCAACAACGGAUCUCUUGGUUCUGGCAUCGAUGAAGAACGCAGCGAAAUGCGAUAAGUAAUGUGAAUUGCAGAAUUCAGUGAAUCAUCGAAUCUUUGAACGCACAUUGCGCCCUGCGGUAUUCCGCAGGGCAUGCCUGUUCGAGCGUCAUUUAACCACUCACGCCUGGCGUGGUAUUGGGGCACGCGGUCUCCGCGGCCCUCAAAAUUAGUGGCGGCGCCGGUGGGCUCUAAGCGUAGUACAUACUCCCGCUAUAGAGUUCCCCCGGUGGCCCGCCAGAACCCCCAAUUUUUACAGGUUGACCUCGGAUCAGGUAGGGAUACCCGCUGAACUUAAGCAUAUCAAUAAGCGGAGGAAAAGAAACCAACAGGGAUUACCUCAGUAACGGCGAGUGAAGCGGUAACAGCUCAAAUUUGAAAGCUGCCAACAGGCCGCGUUGUAAUUUGUAGAAGCUGCUUUGGGUGUCGGCCCGGUCUAAGUUCCUUGGAACAGGACGUCAUAGAGGGUGAGAAUCCCGUAUGUGAUCGGUGCCGUUGCCCGUGUAAAGCGCUUUCGACGAGUCGAGUUGUUUGGGAAUGCAGCUCAAAAUGGGUGGUAAAUUUCAUCUAAA
rnacentral:rRNA from 1 species